rnacentral:rRNA from 1 species
AUUGAACGCUGGCGGCAGGCUUCACACAUGCAAGUCGAACGAGUGGCGGACGGGUGAGAAAUGAUUGGGAAUCUAGCUUAUGGAGGGGGAUAACUACGGGAAACUGUAGCUAAUACCGCGUACCAUAGGAUGAGCCCAAAGGGGAUUAGGUAGUUGGUGGGGUAAAGGUUCACCAAGCCGACGAUCUCUAGCGGGUCUGCGAGGAUGACCAGCCACACUGGGACUGAUACACGGCCCAGACUCCUACGGGAGGCAGCAGUGGGGAAUAUUGCGCAAUGGGGGCAACCUGACGCAGCCAUGCCGCGUGAAUGAAGAAGGCCUUCGGGUUGUAAAGUUCUUUCGGUAGCGAGGCGUUACCUACAGAAGAAGCACCGGCUAACUCCGUGCCAGCAGCCGCGGUAAUUC